UUUAUACUCCCUCCAUACAAAAAUACUUGUCAUCAAAAAUGGAUAAAAAGAGAUGUAUCUAAAACUAAAAUACGUCUAGAUACAUUUCCUUUUAUCCAUUUUGAUGACAAGUAUUUCCGGACGGAGGGAGUAUUUG
rfam:Triticum aestivum genome assembly, contig: Triticum_aestivum_CS42_TGACv1_scaffold_642893_T_4BL-0.099920_4BS-0.050576